rnacentral:rRNA from 1 species
GUCUCAGCGAUGCUCGACUAUAUUGGCCCCAUCGACGUAAUCAACUUCUGGCUGCUGCAAAGAAGGAGAAACAAAAGGUUUAGGGAUUAAUAAGGU